CAGGUUCCCGAUUUCCAUUUGUCCAGUUUUCCUGUCCCUUCCUGCCUUCGCUUUUGGGCUAGUGUGCCCAUUAGUCUCAUAUACAGGACUGAACUACAAAGCACAUUCCUAAGGGGCCAGGGUGGCGGGGUCUGGAAGAGGCAUCCAGCCAAAGCUCCCUACUUCCUAUCGGAUCUGGCCUUAAUAAAGGUCUCUGACUUUAAAGAGAGAGAUUUAUCUCAAGGAAAUGGCUCACGUGGUUGCAGAGGCCUGGCAAGUCUGGAAGCUUCCCCUGACUCACAUAGCUGCAACUGCUGAUGAACCAAAGAUCGUAAGGUCAGAUGGCAGGCUGCUGGCUCAAGUCCCAAGAACUGGUCAGAUGAUGAUGAGCUGGACGCAGGAUCCAGAGUGAGUGAGUAAGCUUUUCCAGAACAUCCAUUUAGAUAUAUUGCUGCAGGUCAUACCCUCAAGGAAGCUCCCCUUACAAUUGAUUGGCUGAACACAUCGGAUCACAUCACAGAGGAUGACUACGUCAUUACAUAACUGCAAAAGUAUAUCAUUACAUAACUGCCAAACCAUUGAGAAUCAUGGCCCAGCCAAGCUGAUAUACAACCUUAACUGUCACAGUAGGUCACUUAGUCCUGAUCUGUGAAAGUCUACCUUAUAGUGUUUGAUUAAAUGAAGUAAGGUAUACAGAGCGUGUUGUACAUAGUAGUCCUUCUACACAAGCAAUUUGGAGUAGAAUAUUAGAACACACACAAAAUGUGUUGGCUGUGUUACUGGUGUGUGCUCUCCAGAUGUUCUCAACUAAGCAUUGGCCUUCCAAAGAGGGGGACUGGUAUCUCUCUGGAAAAAAUAUCUGCGAGAUAAUCUGUUUCUCCCCUUAAUCCUUUUGGAGACAAAGUGAGAACAGUAUACAAUGGUGCCUGAGCCCUCCAGAGCCUAUUUAUCUGGUACCUCCCCUAUUGGUAGCCCAGCUCAGAAGUGGGUAGGAAGGAAAGGGGCUUUGGAAUAGCCAAAACAGAUGUUCAUGUUCUUGGCAGAUCAUAUCUUCUUAUUUUAGACAAACCAAAGAAGCUUUUUCAGCCUUGGCACAUUAGCAACGAUGCUUAGCGGAGGCAUCUUGUGUGCAGCCAGAAGUGAGAGCCUGGUCUGAGCCCUGUGGGUAGAUGGAAGACGAAAACCAAACACAGAACUCAGGAAGCCAGAUGGAUGGUCUGGGGCCAGGCUCUGUUUUCACCUUGAAUAACUGAUCUGCAUAAUGAUGACACUGAAGUAUCAAGGAGAAAUGAAUUCAUACUGUAUAGUCUUGUAAAGGGCCUCAGUUAAAGUGUGAUGCAGUCCAGAAGUAUUUCUUCCAGCAGUGAUUAAACUCUUUCGGUUUUGCUGCUUAAAAAGUAAGUUUUGUUUUUGUAUAAGUGCCAGAAUGUAACAAUGGUCUUUGUCCCGUGAGGGAAAGAUCAAGUAGCUGCCUAUAGAUGGAAAUGUGGGUAGCCAAGUGUGACAGGCAUUAGAAGUGGCUCAGAGGGAUCUUGACCUGGAACAAAGGAGUGGUUCCCACAAGCACAUUAUUUGCUUUUUAAUUAAGUUAACAUCCACAGUCUAGAAUCCAAAAUCUUUAGGGGCUCGAUGAACUGGAAUUUAGAAUUUUUUAGAUUUUUUAAAGGUUGUAUGUAUAAAACCAAAACCAAACCCACUGCCGUCGAGUCGAUUCUGACCCAUAGCGACCCUAUAGGACAGAGUAGAGCUGCCCCAUAGAGUUUCCAAGGAGCACCUGGUGGAUUUGAACUGCAGACCUUUUGGUUAGCAGCCGAAGCACUUAACCCCACUACGCCACCAGGGUUUCCAGUUGCAUGUAUAACCGAAUAUUAUGUAACAGCCUCAGCAGGGUGUUCGGCAAUACACCAUAAUCAAACAUAUCAAUAUUUCUGCUAUGAAAUGUGUGAAGCACUAACUAGGACAAAUAGUGCUUUAGUUUAUUUAAGUAAUAAUAAACCAAUAGGUGAAAUAGUGAGAUAAGUAUAGACUGUAAAUACUAUAGUAAUUGUAUUACUAAGGAAAACCUGAAAACUCAUUGCCAAUGAGUUGAUUCUGACUCAUAGCGACCCUAUAGGACAGAGUAGAACUGCGUCAUCGUGUUUCCAAGGAGUGGCUGGUAGAUUCCAACUGCUGGCCUUUUCAUUAAUGGCUGAGCUCUUAACCGCUGCGUCACCAGGUCUUCUAAGGAAAAUGUUUUAUAAAUCUUUAAAUAUGUACAAGUUCAAAUUCAGCUAAAUAUGUCUGUACAUACACAAUAUGACGGCCAUUACCUCUGGUUAUGUGAGCAUUGUGGAGAAGAGAAAUGACAGUGUCUGUCACCAGCAGUAAGCUGGACAUUUGAUAACAGCCAGGAGCAGGAUUAAGGUCAGCACUUUAAUAAGGGCCUUUUUAAAGGACUUUUCCAGUGUUAUAUGUCUCAUUAAUUUCAGUUUCUAUCUUGGUGCAAUGGUUAAGAGCUAUGGCAAGCUACAGCUGCUAACAAAAAGGUCAGCAGUUCAAAUCCACUGGCUGCUUUUCGGAAACCCUAUGGAGCAGUUCUGCUCUGUCCUAAAAGGUUGCUAUGAGUCAGAAUUGACUCAAUGUCAAUGGGUUAAUCUAAACCACCACCAUUUUCUGUUAAGUUGGCUGUGACUCAUGGCAAUCCUAUAUGUGUCAGAGUAGAACUGUGCUCCAUAGGGUUUAAAUGACUGAUUUUUGGAAGCAGAUCACCAGGCCUUUCUUCUGAGGUCCCUCUGGGUAGACUUGAACCUCUGGCCAUUCAGUUAGCAGCCAAGUGAUUAAACAUUUGCACCAAUUGCUAUGAAUUGGAAUUAACUUGACAGCAACAGGUUUUGUUUUGGUUUUUUGGAGCCCUGUGGUACAAUGGAUUGCUUUGGGAUGGCCUUUCUCGCCAUGGUCUUAUAUCUCCCACCCAAGUGAUUGGGCAAGACUGUGUGAUAGGUUAAUUAUGGCCCACCAAAGGGAUUGGUCAGUUUUACCAUCCCACUGGGCUUGAGAUGAGCCAUGCCAGAGAUGGGAAAGAGAAGAUCCCACCACCACCCAGGAAGAACAGCUAGGAGCCAACAUGUCCUUUGGACCUGGGAUUCCUGCACUGAGAAGCUCCUGGAACCAGGAGGCAGAGAGAAAGUUGUAACACUGAAGGCAGAGAGAAGCAGUGGCAGAGACCUGUAGGUAGGAGACAGCAUGGCGGGCUUCCCAGCCUGAGAGAGAAAGCUGAGCGUCUUUGGGCAGAGGCCUCUGGCCAGGGAGAGAUGUGCCUGUAAGCAUGGUUGGGAAGAGGCUGUCCUGAUGGAAGAACUGUAUCCUGAGCUCUGAACCUGAAUUGUAACCUUUUACUUCCCAGAUAAACCCUAUAAUCGUAUUUCCUGUGAGUUCUGUAUGGCCAUUGCAAUGAAUUAUUGAACACAGUAGAAAAGUAGCAAGUGCCAUGGGAGGGAUGGUUGGUGUCAGAAUUGGUAAAGAAGGCAGACAGAGGAGGCAAGUGUGACCUCCGCUUCGUAGGAAUCAGCCUUAGGCUGUUGAUCUUGAUUCUCCUUCCCCCUUGUGAAGUUAGAGGAAGUCAGAUACCACCCCCACACUAUUUUGCACCUUCCUUAAUUACAAAAACUUAGAUAAACUCGUGUUCACUGAUAAAAGCACAUGAUUCAAGGCCAGCCAUUGACUGAUCACACAUUUUCACCCUGCCAUUAAGUGGUUUUUUUCACCUGUUUGCAACGUCAUGUUCAUCAUCACUGUCAUCCUCAUGAUUAACUAUAGAGGCAGUCCUCGGGUUGCAAUCAAGAUCCGUUCCUAACUCUGUCUCUAAGUCGAAUUUGCAGGUAAGUCCAAACAGGUGCAUACAGUUCUUACUUAACCUUACUUUAGUGCAAGAAAAGGCUCGAAGCCUUUCCAGUGAUUUAAAAGCUACACAUGCAGCAAGUGGAGGUGACUGUGAUGAAGAAUUUGUGGUGAGUAGGGGUUGGUUCAGCCAUUUCGAAGUGUGGACAAAUUUACAUAACAUUAAGGGGCAAGUAUGAGUUGUUGUCUGUAAGUCAGACAUUUGUAACCCAGGGAAUGCCUGUAUUUAAAACUAUUUCAGCAGUUUGCAUACAUAAGACAUGCACAACAGGAACAUCUUUGUCAAUGUUGUAGUAUCUUUGAUUUGAGCAUUAUUUAUACUUUUAACUGAUAAAUUUUUGUCAUAACAUGGUCUCAUUAGCAGUAUGAACUCCUUCAAAAUCUUCAUCUGUAAAUUCAGUUUCAAACAUCACUGGAAGCCAAAUUCCAUGCCAAGCAUUUUUUAAAAUAAACUUUUAAUUUUGAAAUGAUUAUUCAUACUUCAUUCAGAUUUCCCUGGUUUUUACACUGAAGUCCUUUUUUCUGUUUUAGAAUUUAAUCCAGGAUACCACAUUGCAUUUAGUCAUCAUGUCUCCUUAGUUUCCUAUUGUCUGUGGCAGUUUCUCAGUCUUUCCUUGUUUUUCGUGACCUUGAAAUUUUUGAGGAGUACUGGUCUGGUGAGAUGGAGCCCUGGUGGCACAAUGGUUAAGCACUCAGCUGCUAACUGAAAGGUUGGCUGUUUGAACCCAUCAGCAGCUCUGUGGGAGAAAAGACCUGGCGAUCUGCUCCUGUAAAGAUUAUAGCCUAGGAAACCCUAUUGGGCAUCGACUCGACAGCAUACAAGGUAGUUGGUAGACUUUCCCUCAGUUUAAGUUUGUCUAAUGUUUUCUCAUGAUUCGUCUGUGGUUAUACAUUAUAUCAAUCCUGAACACUUUUUUAAAAAAAAUUUUAUUGUGCUUUAGGUGAAAGUUUACAGAGCAAAUUAGUUUUCCAUUCGAUAAUUAGUACAUAUACUGUUCCGUGACAUUAGUUGCAUUCCCCUCAAUGUGUCAGCACUUCCCCCAUUUCCACCUUGGGUUUCCCAUUCCUUUCAUUUGGAUUUUCUACCCCUUCCUGGCUACUCAUCUUUGCCUUUGGCAAAAUGUUGUCCUUUUGAUCUUAUAUAAUUGUUCUAAGGAACAACCAGACUUUUCUUUUUUUUUAGAUGAAGGUUUAGAGAACAAACUAGUUUCUCAUUAAACAGUCCGUACACAUAUUGUUUUAUGACUUUGGUUAACAACCCCAUGACAUAUCAGCACUCUCCCUUCUCUACCUUGGGUUCCCUAUUACCAGCUUUCCUGCCCCCUCCUGCCUUCUAGUCUUGUUUUGUGGGUCUGUCUAAUCUUUGGAUGAAGGGUGAACCUUGGAAGUGACUUCAUUACUGAGCUAAAAGGGUGUCUGGGGCUCAUAGUCUCGGGGUAUCUCCAGGCUCUGUCAGGCCAGUAAGACUGGUCUUUUUUUGUGAGUUAGAAUGUUAUUCUACAUUCUUCUCCAGCUCUGUCUGGGAUCCUCUAUUGUGAUCCCUGUCAGAGCAGCCAGUGGUGGUAGCUGGACACCGUCUAGUUGUACUGGACUCAGUUUACAAUCAGACACUUUUAAUGUUGACUUAACAUCAUUCCAAGACUUAGCAACUGUGUUAAUGGCAUCCUGAAGACUGAACUUUUCCAGAAAGUCUUUGAUUCCAAUCUUCAGGAAGCGUACGGUUUUUUUUUUUUUUUUUCUAGGUGCUUUUACUUGUUCUUUAUGGAAGAUGAAAUUCCACACUGGCAUCACAAAAAGCUCAAGAAGGGCUGUGUGGAGUAGUUACGUAGGAAUGUUAAAAGGUUAACAGCUCUUCCUGACAACCUUGCCUGCUGUGAACUCAUGCUGCUGCUCUGAGAUAGUUAUUGACCAGUUGGAAAGUAUUUCUUUGGUCACCCAUCUUUUGUGUGCAUAGUAAAACCCAGGUAAAUUAUGUAUACUCUUCAAGUAUCUUGGAUAUUGCUUUUUCUGCCAGUUUUAUCUAAUGUGGCCUGCAACAGUGGCACACCCAAGAAUGGUCAGCCUCAAAACGUGUUGGUGCUCACUUCUCUGCGCUGGGAAUUUUUUUCCAGGGUUGGAGCAUCAGGACAGAGUGGUUUCAUCAGCAUUGAUAAUUUGUUUAAGCCUAAGGUUUUCACCAGGUAUUAUCUUAGCAAACUCAUCAAUAUAGUUUUCAGAUGAUUCCGGAUCAGUAGAAGUUUUAUCUACUUGAUUUUUAGAUUGCUUUAAACAAUGGCACUUCUUAAGUUUCUGUAGCCAGCCUUAUGAAUAGUCACACACACAUCUUCAAGGUUCAGUUCUUCAUGGCAUAUUCUAAUUAUAGUCAUUUCAUCACUUCAUUUUCAAUCCACUCAACAAGAUGUGGUCAAGAUCUUCAAUUUUUGUCCUAUGCAAUGUUUUCUUA